GAGUUUGAUCUUGGCUCAGAGUGAACGCUGGCGGCAGGCCUAACACAUGCAAGUCGAACGGCAGCGCAGCAGUAGCAAUACUGUGGGCGGCGAGUGGCGGACGGGUGAGGAAUACAUCGGAAUCUACCUUGUCGUGGGGGGAUAACGUAGGGAAACUUACGCUAAUACCGCAUACGACCUACGGGUGAAAGCGGCGGACCGCAAGGCGUCGCGCGAUUGGAUGAGCCGAUGUCCGAUUAGCUAGUUGGCGGGGUAAGAGCCCACCAAGGCGACGAUCGGUAGCUGGUCUGAGAGGAUGAUCAGCCACACUGGAACUGAGACACGGUCCAGACUCCUACGGGAGGCAGCAGUGGGGAAUAUUGGACAAUGGGCGCAAGCCUGAUCCAGCCAUGCCGCGUGUGUGAAGAAGG
rnacentral:rRNA from 1 species